rnacentral:rRNA from 1 species
UACGGGGGGGGCAAGCGUUGUUCGGAAUUACUGGGCGUAAAGGGCUCGUAGGCGGCCAACUAAGUCAGACGUGAAAUCCCCAGGCUCAACCUGGGAACUGCGUCUGAUACUGGAUGGCUUGAAUCCGGGAGAGGGAUGCAGAAUUCCAGGUGUAGCGGUGAAAUGCGUAGAUAUCUGGAGGAAUACCGGUGGCGAAGGCGGCAUCCUGGACCGGCAUUGACGCUGAGGAGCGAAAGCUAGGGGAGCAAGCGGG